rnacentral:rRNA from 1 species
GACGAACGCUGGCGGCGUGCUUAACACAUGCAAGUCGAACGGAAAGGCCCUGCUUUUGUGGGGUGCUCGAGUGGCGAACGGGUGAGUAACACGUGAGUAACCUGCCCUUGACUUUGGGAUAACUUCAGGAAACUGGGGCUAAUACCGGAUAGGAGCUCCUGCUGCAUGGUGGGGGUUGGAAAGUUUCGGCGGUUGGGGAUGGACUCGCGGCUUAUCAGCUUGUUGGUGGGGUAGUGGCUUACCAAGGCUUUGACGGGUAGCCGGCCUGAGAGGGUGACCGGGCACAAGGGUGGCGAGGUUGGGCCCAGAGACCGGGGGGGGGCAGGGGUGGAGAUGGUGGGAGGGGGGGGGGAGGGGGGAGGCGGCAGCGGGGGGUGGGGGAGGGCGGGCGUGGGGUUGUCCCCCGCUUCGGCGGGUGACGGGGGGGGGGUGCCGGAAGUGGGGAAGAAAGCACGGGAUAGCGACGUGCAAGAGGCGGGAGUAAGAAGGGGAAGCGAAAUAGUAGGAGC